rnacentral:rRNA from 3 species
ACAUGAAGCUGGAAUCGCUAGUAAUCGUAGAUCAGCAUGCUACGGUGAAUACGUUCCCGGGUCUUGUACACACCGCCCGUCACACCACGAGAGUUUGUAACACCCGAAGCCGGUGGAGUAACCAUUUGGAGCUAGCCGUCGAAGGUGGGACAAAUGAUUGGGGUGAAGUCGUAACAAGGUAGCCGUAUCGGAAGGUGCGGCUGGAUCACCUCCUUUCUAAGGA